UACGUAGGGUGCGAGCGUUGUCCGGAAUUAUUGGGCGUAAAGAGCUCGUAGGCGGUUUGUCGCGUCGGCCGUGAAAACUUGGGGCUUAACCCCGAGCCUGCGGUCGAUACGGGCAGACUUGAGUUCGGCAGGGGAGACUGGAAUUCCUGGUGUAGCGGUGAAAUGCGCAGAUAUCAGGAGGAACACCGGUGGCGAAGGCGGGUCUCUGGGCCGAUACUGAUGCUGAGGAGCGAAAGCGUGGGGAGCGAACAGG
rnacentral:rRNA from 1 species